rnacentral:rRNA from 1 species
UUGUUGCAGUUAAAAAGCUCGUAGUUGGAUUUCGGGUGAGCCGACGCGGUCAGCCUUUGGUUUGCACUGCGACCGGCUCAUCUUUCUGUCGGGGACGGGCUCCUGGGCUUCACUGUCUGGGACUCGGAGUCGACGAGGUGACCUUGAGCAAACAAGAGUGUUCAAAGCAAGCCUACGCUCUGAAUUAUUUAGCAUGGAAUCACACGAUAGGACUCUGGCCUAUCUUGUUGGUCUGUAGGACCGGAGUAAUGAUUAAGAGGGACAGUCGGGGGCAUUCGUAUUUCAUUGUCAGAGGUGAAAUUCUUGGAUUUAUGAAAGACGAACUUCUGCGAAAGCAUUUGCCAAGGAUGUUUUCAUUGAUCAAGAACGAAAGUUGGGGGCUCGAAGACGAUUAGAUACCGUCGUAGUCUCAACCAUAAACGAUGCCGACUAGGGAUUGGCAGGUGUUCCAUUGAUGACCCUGCCAGCACCUUAUGAGAAAUCAAAGUUUUUGGGUUCCGGGGGGAGUAUGGUCGCAAGGCUGAAACUUAAAGGAAUUGACGGAAGGGCACCACCAGGCGUGGAGCCUGCGGCUUAAUUUGACUCAACACGGGGAAACUUACCAGGUCCAGACACGGGGAGGAUUGACAGAUUGAGAGCUCUUUCUUGAUUCUGUGGGUGGUGGUGCAUGGCCGUUCUUAGUUGGUGGGUUGCCUUGUCAGGUUGAUUCCGGUAACGAACGAGACCUCAGCCUGCUAAAUAGUCACGCGUACCCCGGUACGUGAUUGACUUCUUAGAGGGACUAUUGGCGUU